UACGUAGGGUGCAAGCGUUGUUCGGAAUUAUUGGGCGUAAAGCGCGUGUAGGUGGUUAUGCAAGUCAGAUGUGAAAUCCCUGGGCUCAACCGAGGAAGUGCAUCUGAAACUACAUAGCUAGAGGACGGUAGAGGUAGGUGGAAUUCCUAGUGUAGAGGUGAAAUUCGUAGAUAUUAGGAGGAAUACCUGUGGCGAAGGCGGCCUUCUGGGCCGUUCCUGACACUGAGACGCGAAAGCGUGGGGAGCAAACAGG
rnacentral:rRNA from 1 species